CUAGUAUAGGAAGUCCAAACUUGUCAGAGUUCAAAUAGACUUCUUUAAAGUAACUAUGACUAUUUGUACCUGUAACCACAGUGUGUUGAGACUUAAGGUGGGGAACACAUGACUUCUUGAAAAUCUAACAGGAAACUUUUCAAAUGAAAUGGUUAAUAGAUAAAUAGUCUGGCACUGUUUCCUUGGAAUGAACCUGUUAUUCAUGGCCUGUCUGUCUCAGUGAAUCACCCGGUGAUGAGUGGAAGUGGAAAUACUAAAGCAAAUAAAGGAGGAGAAGUGCUGUUAAAGUGGAGCAAGGAGGAGGAGCUGCAUACCUUCUUGACAUGCAAUAUACGGACUUUGCUCUCAUUUCACCUGUUUUUUCUUUCACUCGUUCGGAAUCAAGCACAAAUACAGGCUCCAAUGUGAGACUGCUGCAGUAUGGAUAAAAUUGAGAAUACUAAUAGUGAGGCAGAGGAGGUGAAAAUUGCUAUGCUGGAAAAUGCUAAUAAAAUAGAAGAACUCAAAGAUGUCAAUCAAAAACCUGAAAACCAUAAGUGCACUAGGGAAAAAUGUAAGGAAUCUGCAUCAAACCAGAAGUUGGAGUAUCUGUGGGCUAAUAAAGGAGUCGUAGCCACUGUAUUGAUUUCAGCUGUUCUUAUACUCACUGUUGUUGUUGCCAUGCUUGCCACUAAAGAAACAGAUGGGCACAGUCACUCAGUGCACAAUGCAAAUCACACUGUGCAUGUGCACAAUGUCACAGAAAUGCUAUAA
ensembl:lncRNA